AGUGACCUCGUCUCUCGUUGAUCAUCCUCUCAUCUCGGUUCCCAAAGAGUUUCUUCGGAGGGAACUCCAGAGCAGAGAGCUGCAGGUCAAAACACAACACAAACACAACACUCAGUACUCAGAGCAGAGAGCUGCAGGUCAUCAGACACAACACAAACACAACACUCAGUACUCAGAGCAGAGAGCUGCAGGUCAUCAGACACAACACAAGCACAACACUCAGUACUCAGAGCAGAGAGCUGCAGG